AUGGUCAGGUGUAUUAAUGUGUUAUGGAAAAUACUGCAAUUUACAACAAAUCUGUUAGAUGUAGUUUUUCAGAGUAUGGAAGUUAUUUACUAACCAAUGUUUUACAUCAUUCUCAUUAUAGAACAAAAAUCUAUGUUGACAAAGAGCUAAAUAAACUGCUUACCGUGGGCUAGAUGACUGUAUUUACUUCUUAAAGUUUCUGGUUCUAUCUGCUUUUGUUCUGCAGCUUUCUCUUGUAUUUCUGGCUUCUAAAAGGUUGGUGCUGUAGUUUGAUCCCCUUCUCGUCUGCUAAUCCGAAGAGUCAGGAGUAAUGAGGUUGUAUUUACAGCCUGCACCAGUACUAAUGGACUAGGUGUGGUCAGAGACCAAUUAUUAUAUAUGACAUAGACCCUUUGCUUUCUCUGUGCUGACAGCACAACAGUACAGAACAAUCCAACCAUUGGCAGUGCCAUAAAUCCUGGGAGAUUUUUGAUGUGAACAAUAUAUUGUAUAUUUUAAAAUGCGUUAAACUCCCCGCCUCCCAGUUGUGUCAUCUAACACUGUGUUUUUGUAAAUAUCCUUUAUUUUUUCUACAUCAGAUCUUAGGCUCAUCUCCUUCCUCUUAUUUCACCAGACAGUUUCCUAUAUUUCUGGAGACUUUAUUGUGCAUAUUCUGCUUUUUGUAUAAUUUUCUGCUCUUAACAGCCUUGUUCUCACAGAGGGACCAUUAAAGAAGGAGGAGGAUGAUACUGGAGUGGAACUGGGGAAUCUCUUAAGAUCAACAGGACACGACCAGAUGGAUGCCUGUAGAUCUAGUUAGGCCCUGUUAUCGAAAGUGAUGGAUGAAGGUGCUGAGUAUUGAUUCCAAUAAUUUGGGAAAUCAGCCCACUAUUCUGUAAUAAGAUAUAAGGUGUCAGUGUGACAGCUGCUUUAUUGUUGGGGAGCUCACGCAUACCUAAGGGCAAGCGCCUCCCCUCUCUUGAACUGGACUACAGCCUGGGCUUGAGCCUGCAAGGUGCCAUGGCUAGCAAAGCACGCAGGCACGUACUGUGGUACCACUGAAAUCAAUGAGACUAAGUACAUGGUUAAAGUUAAGUCUGGGUUUAAGUGCUUUGCUGUGUCAAGCAAAUGUGCUCAGUACCUGGUGGGAAUGUCUGUUCUAAAGUGCUGCAUGUUUGCCCAGGUUUCUGGGCCCAAGCUAUUACAAUUACUCCGCAUCUGAAUGAAUUUCCAGUAAAAUGCUCUGCUAUUUUUCUAGUUAAAGCAGCAGCAAAUCUAGCCGGGUCUGAUGGUGAGCUUGAAAAAAACACCUAGAUUCUCUUUCUUAAGAGACAAACAUUUUAGACUGGUUUGAACGUGACCGCCAGCUGCGUUAGUAACACUGGACUACAGCUCAUUAUGAAUUCAGGGAAGCUCAGUGAAUCACUGAGAAUAAUUAAUCCAGCUCCCCUAAACUCAGGGGGUGUCAAGCACCCUCUGGGCUUGAAAUGGGGGCUAAUGAUACUCAGCAAUUCUCAUGUAGGAUGCCUAGUGCGGCCACUAUGGGCUUGUCUUGUGGCCACAGGCUCCUGGGCAGUGAUGCGGGGGGUGCAAAGCAGUGGUCCCUCUCACAGGGCCACCAGCAGGGGUUGGACCCUGCUCCCCUCUGGAGAGACAAAUGCUGGAGGAGAAGACAGCUAGUGAGUUCCCCACCUGCCUGGGGACCCAUGGUGGGCAACCUGCAGCCCACACAUGGCCCCUCAGGCUAAUCCACUAGCAGGCUGCAAGGCCGUUGGUUUACACUGACCGUCUGAAGGCACAGCUCCCAGUGGCCCUAGUCCUCCCUCAAACAAUGCAGCCCUUUCACAGCAUUGAAGCAGAGUAGCCAGCUCUGGCAAUGAUGCAGGAGGCAGAAUGGAAUGCAGCUCAGACAGUCUCACGGCCCAGCAGCAGAUUGCUCUGAUGGGCUACGUGCGGGCUGCAGGUUGCCUACCACUGCUGGGGAUGGUAGGGUUAGGGUCCAGCUCCAGGGUGGUGGGCAGCAGGCUCUGGCCAUGGGGCUCCAACCCCUAGCUGUGGGGGCUCACAUCCCUAUCACCCCUGCUGGCCCAUCAUGUCUCAUCCACCCCCCAUUCCAGCACUUGCCCCCUACUGACCUCCCCAUCUAAGGCUUAAUUUGUCCCCAGGCCUGAGUAAGUCUGCUGCUGUGAAAAGUGAUAUCAGUAUGUUGGUUAAUAACACUCUUCCCAGCAGGAGACUUACUAACUAGCAAGUCUUUUUAAAAAAGCAAACAAAAAAGCCAAGAACCCACAGAGCACCUUUUCUAUUCUAUUUAGGGCCAGUAAAGAAUAGCAACAACUACGUUAUUUUUAUUAUUGAGUCUGCAAAAAGAUUCAAUGCAUUACAGUGAUUUGGAUAUGUGUAUGUGCAUGUGCCUAUUUAGGAAAAAUAAAUCACGUUAAAUAGUUUAGGAAAAAUUUGUCACUGCGGCCA